GAUGAACGCUAGCGGGAGGCUUAACACAUGCAAGUCGAGGGGCAGCAUAGGGUAGCAAUACUCUGAUGGCGACCGGCAAACGGGUGAGUAACGCGUAUGUAACCUACCCUGUACAGGGGGAUAACCCGGAGAAAUUCGGACUAAUAUCCCAUAACAAUAUCCGGGGGCAUCUUUGGAUAUUUAAAGUUCCGGCGGUACGGGAUGGGCAUGCGUAACAUUAGCUAGUUGGUAAGGUAACGGCUUACCAAGGCUUUGAUGUUUAGGGGUCCUGAGAGGGUGGUCCCCCAACUGGUACUGAGACACGGACCAGACUCCUACGGGAGGCAGCAGUGAGGAAUAUUGGUCAAUGGGCGCAAGCCUGAACCAGCCAUCCCCGGUGCAGGAAGACGGCGCUAUGCGUUGUAAACUGCUUUUAGCCGGGAAUAAACACCCGUUUUAUAACGGGCCCGAAGGUACCGGCUGAAUAAGCAUCGGCUAACUCCGUG
rnacentral:rRNA from 1 species